rnacentral:rRNA from 1 species
GACAGAGGCCUCAAGCGUUAGGCGGAAUCACUGGGCUUAAAGCGUGUGUAGGCGGGUCGUUAAGUACCUUGUGAAAUCCCACGGCUCACCCGUGGAACUGCUGGGUAUACUGGCGAUCUUGGGCCAUUCAGGGGCAACUGGAACAAGCGGUGGAGCGGUGAAAUGCGUAGAUAUCGUAAGGAAGACCAGUGGCGAAGGCGGGUCUCUGGACAGUUCCUGACGCUGAGGCACGAAGGCCAGGGGAGCAAACGGG